AGGCUGGCUCAGGACGAACGCUGGCGGCGUGCCUAACACAUGCAAGUCGAGCGGGGAUAUUGAGGAUGAGAGCUUCGGCAGGAUUUCUUAAUAUUCUAGCGGCGGACGGGUGAGUAACGCGUGAGCAAUCUGUCUCAGACAGGGGGAUAACGCAGCGAAAGUUGCACUAAUACCGCAUGAGACCACAGAGCCGCAUGGCUUAGGGGUCAAAGGAGGAAUCCGGUCUGAGGUGAGCUCGCGUCCCAUUAGGUAGUUGGUGAGGUAACGGCCCACCAAGCCUGCGAUGGGUAGCCGACCUGAGAGGGUGAUCGGCCACACUGGAACUGAGACACGGUCCAGACUCCUACGGGAGGCAGCAGUGGGGAAUAUUGGGCAAUGGGCGAAAGCCUGACCCAGCAACGCCGCGUGAGUGAAGAAGGUCUUCGGAUUGUAAAUCUCUGUCCUAAGAGAAGAGGGGAAGACGGUAUCUUAGGAGGAAGCCCCGGCUAACUACGUGCCAGCAGCCGCGGUAAUACGUAGGGGGCGAGCGUUGUCCGGAAUGAUUGGGCGUAAAGGGCGUGUAGGCGGCCUGUUAAGUCUGGAGUGAAAGUCCUGUUUUCAAGAUGGGAAUUGCUUUGGAUACUGGCGGGCUUGAGUGCAGGAGAGGUUAUCGGAAUUCCCGGUGUAGCGGUGAAAUGCGUAGAGAUCGGGAGGAACACCAGUGGCGAAGGCGGGUAACUGGACUGCAACUGACGCUAAGGCGCGAAAGUGUGGGGAGCAAACAGGAUUAGAUACCCUGGUAGUCCCCU
rnacentral:rRNA from 1 species